UACAGAGGGGGCAAGCGUUAUUCGGAAUUAUUGGGCGUAAAGGGCGCGUAGGCGGUUUUUUAAGCCAGACGUGAAAUCCCCGGGCUUAACCUGGGAACUGCGUUUGGAACUGGAAGACUAGAGUGUGUCAGAGGGAGGUGGAAUUCCACGUGUAGCAGUGAAAUGCGUAGAUAUGUGGAGGAACACCGAUGGCGAAGGCAGCCUCCUGGGAUAACACUGACGCUCAUGCACGAAAGCGUGGGGAGCAAACAGGAUUAGAUACCCUGGUAGUCCACGCCCUAAACGAUGUCAACUGGUUGUUGGGAGAGAAAUCUUUCAGUAACGAAGCUAACGCGUGAAGUUGACCGCCUGGGGAGUACGGCCGCAAGGUUGAA
rnacentral:rRNA from 1 species